CAUAGCGUAGAUCUCAACCCUCCAAACCAAAUCCAACGGCUGAGAUUCGUCCACGUCAUCGCGAGUUAAAAUUUAAUUCCAGCAAAAUUUUAACUCCUGAAAUUUUACUCCCAGUAAAAUUUUUACUCCUACGAGUUAAAUUUUAGGGUUAAAUUUUAACUCGCGAUGACGUGAACGAAUCUCAGCCGUUGGAUUUGGUUUGGAGGGCUGAGAUCUACGCUAUG
rnacentral:pre_miRNA from 1 species